AGAAGUCGCUCGAGCGGGGAAGCGGCGGCCGUUAGGAAAAUGGCGCCGUGCGGCCCGGGGCAGACCCCCGUCACUGGUCACCGCCGCCUUCCUGGUGCAGCUGCUGUGUCACGGCCACACCGGCCGGCUGUACAGCAGGCAGGAGCCGGUGACCAUUCUGGAGGCGAAUGGGGUUAAGGGCCUGUUUGGGAACUGGUCGGCCGCCUGGGUGGUGGAGUUCUACUGGUCGUGGGGCGGCCCCUGUGUCAACUAUGGGGCCACCUGGAAGGUACUGGGCCCGGGAGGUGAAAGGAUCUGAAGAUGGAAGUUUCAAAAUCAACAGAUGAAGGCCUAAUGCCCAAAAUGUUGACUCUCCUCCUUGGAUGCUGCCUGACCUGCUGUGCUUUUCCAGCACCGCACUUUCUGACUCUGACUCUCCAGCGUCUGCAGUCCUUACUUUGACGUCCAUGUCUGACAGUCAUUCAAUCCAAUCCAUCGGGACCGCAACAGUUUGCAACUAUGAUUCUGUGAGGAGCAAAGCUGUUUGGGUACGUUUUCAGCAUCAGUGGGACUGGAUGAGAGACCCUACCAUUGCAGUGCACUGAGUGAGGAGCGUGCAACAGCUAUACGGUUUGGAAAGAGGAAUUCACGGUGGAGAGAAGCUCCACAUGCGUUUGUGCGGCUGAAGCUUCGGCCAUGGAGAAACCCGAGGAAUCCCGCCCCGUGGAGAAACCAUGGAAGUGUGGCAACUGUGGGAAAGGCUUGUUUCCCGUCUGCCCUGGAGACUCAUUGGCGCAGUCACACUGGGGAGAGGCCGUUCCCCUUCCCUGACUGCAGGAAGGACUUCAGCGAUUCCUCCAACCUCCAGACCCACCAGUGGAUCCACAUGGGGGAGAGGCCCUUAAGCUGCCCCGAGUGCGGGAAGGCCUUUACCCAGGCCGCCUCCUUGCUGACCUACCAGCGGGAUCACGUGGCAUUGCAGGAGGAUUGAAAGAAAGACGGCCGAGUGCCUUUACCAACUGGACUAUCAACCCAGUUCCAGUGGCUCCCGAGUUCGAUUCCCACAACAGAUGGCGGAAUUGGAAUUUGGUCAGAAAUCUGGAGUUCAGAAUCUAACGGUGAAACUAUUGUCGGUGGGGUGGGGGUGGAAAAAAACCCCCUUCUGAUUCACUCAGUUCCUUUUUAGGGAAGACUUGAGCCAUUAUUAGAGCAGUCGUCCCAGCUGCAUCCUUUACCCGCUCUGGCCUACACGUGAUUCCAGACCCACAAUAGUCUGGUUGACUCUAUGCUGCUCAUCCAACUUACUUGGAUACAGGUUGAAAUUGCUGAGUGAGGCAAUACUUCCUCCAGAUUAAGGCUACACCAAGGAUCCAAUUACAAAGGGACAACUCAGUGGUGACCAAUAAUGAAGAAAGUGAGGAGUUGCACUUUGACCUUGAGCUGUUUUUAAAAAAUUGCUACUUUUUCUGCACCUUUCUGCUGGGAGAUUCUGAAGCUGUAACAAAGUUGGGUCACAAUAAAGAUUACCUGAACUUCACACUGAGCUCAUACUCUCAAUGAGAGCUUUAAACUGCAACAGGUUUUUGGUUUAAAACUGCUGAUUUCUUACAGGAGAAAGUUAGAACUGCAGAUGCUGGAGAUCAGGGUCAAGAUUAGAGUGGUGCUGGCAAAGUACUGCAGGUCAGGCAGCUUCCGAGGAGCAGGAAAAUCGACAUUUCGGGUUUGCUCCAGACUCCACCCUCCUUACUGUGUCAACCAUCUGUGAGUAGGGUACUCUCUUCACAACUCCUUUUCCAUUUAUUUCAUUCUGGGCUUCAAUUUAUGACUUGCAGCAACUGAAAGGAAAGAGAAUAAAUCCAUGGAAUGGA